AUUGAACGCUGGCGGCAGGCCUAACACAUGCAAGUCGAACGGUAACAGGAAGAAGCUUGCUUCUUUGCUGACGAGUGGCGGACGGGUGAGUAAUGUCUGGGAAACUGCCUGAUGGAGGGGGAUAACUACUGGAAACGGUAGCUAAUACCGCAUAAUGUCGCAAGACCAAAGAGGGGGACCUUCGGGCCUCUUGCCAUCGGAUGUGUCCAGAUGGGAUUAGCUAGUAGGUGGGGUAACGGCUCACCUAGGCGACGAUCCCUAGCUGGUCUGAGAGGAUGACCAGCCACACUGGAACUGAGACACGGUCCAGACUCCUACGGGAGGCAGCAGUGGGGAAUAUUGCACAAAGGGCGCAAGCCUGAUGCAGCUAUGCCGCGUGUAUGAAGAAGGCCUUCGGGUUGUAAAGUACUUUCAGCGGGGAGGAAGGGAGUAAAGUUAAUACCUUUGCUCAUUGACGUUACCCGCAGAAGAAGCACCGGCUAACUCCGUG
rnacentral:rRNA from 1 species